UACGGAGGAUCCAAGCGUUAUCCGGAUUCAUUGGGUUUAAAGGGUCCGCAGGCGGGAUAUUAAGUCAGUGGUGAAAUCGUACGGCUCAACCGUGCAACUGCCAUUGAUACUGGUAUUCUUGAGUAUAGUUGAGGUGGGCGGAAUAUGUCAUGUAGCGGUGAAAUGCAUAGAUAUGACAUAGAACACCGAUUGCGAAGGCAGCUCACUAAACUAUUACUGACGCUCAGGGACGAAAGCGUGGGGAGCGAACAGG
rnacentral:misc_RNA from 1 species